CUUCCUUGGGCAAGUUCUUGAAUUCCAGCCACUGCAAUCCCCAGCCACUGUCAAAACAGUGCCUACAUUGCCCACAAUGCAACUCAACUCACUAGUUAGGCUGGUGUGAGCUAGUAGUGGCCAGCUGGAGCAGAAAUGAGGAGCAGGCCACAGCCAUCUGUGGGCCAUGGGAAACAUGACUGGAUCUCAGGAAGCAGGUUGACAGAGAAUGCUGGUGUGAUGUACAGAUAUUGCCGGUGCCCUUCAGUGCUAACAUCCAGGGAGUACAACUUGGAGAGCACUUCGUUGUGAGAGAAAAAAAGCAGACUGCGCCUACAUCCACGCCAAACUCCUGAUCCGCUCCUCCAAUGUCCAUAGGGGCAAUGUCCACGAUUGGCAGACGGGAGGUUUUCUGUGUUUUGUACUCAAAGACAGUCUUGCCCCACCGGCCUCUCACCUUGCAGCCAUCCUCCACCACGCUGUAUGUGAAGCGACUGUUGCCCUCUGCGCGGAUCUCCACAUCGUUGGAGCCCUGCAGCAGCAGAGCCUUCUUCAGGUUGCCUGUGGCCAGGUCCAUGUAGGCAACGCUGUUCUUGCAGUGGUACGUGAGGUUCUGGGAUGCUUCAGUGGACAGAAGCCUCAAGAAAGUCAGCUGGACACUGGCAGCAGGGCCAUCCUGAGCGUAGCUGAACUGCAACGACCAGAAGAUGGGACGGGGGGUUCAUUAGCAGCUUUCACGUUAAGUCUCUUCAAGAUCAGUUUAUAGAAAAAGAAAUGAUCUCAAGCAGUGUAUUGUGAAAGUGCACUCACGUGGAAUCCUCCAUUCAUGGUCUCUCCGAACCAGAUGUGUUUGUGGGCCUUGCUCUGGCUGGUCCACCAGUUCUUCUGUGGUACCUUGGCGAUGCUUGGGUAGACGCAGGUCUCUCCAGUCUCCAUGUUACAGAAGACCUUCAUGGCAUCGGCUGUGCUGCCAAUGUUGGGAUCAACCCAGUAGUCACCUGGAGAGAUGAGAAAAGUGGGUGAAUAAUGAGUGAAUCUUGAUUAACUAAAUGCAGCUUUGGUAACUUCUGUUUUUAUUCUAGAAGUAGAUGGCGAGCCUGUUGAAUGGCUCAAACCCAAAGACCAAAUCAUGUAUGUAUUUUGAAGAAAUGCUACUUAACAACAGUCUCUUCCGGGUCAACUGGCCAUUGAUCCUUGUGCUUGAGAUGUGUAAAAUCUGCAAAUUUGUUUGUUUCUGUUAUAAUUUUCAGCUCUAACUGCAACGUUUAAAGAUGUAUUGUUAAACACGGUGGUCCGGUGACGUAUCUGCUGUGCUUAUUUUAUGUACUGCGUUGCUUUGCUAGAGUCUUCUAUAAACCAAAUCGACCCAAUUGUGACAUCUCACCGCUGGUCAGGCUAGUUUUGGGUAGGCUCAAGCUUUUAUUUUGUGUGGUCCAACAUGUAAAUUAGGACCUCCAGAAAAACUGCCUUCACGAACUUUUACACAACCAAUCAAUAAAAUGAGAGGAAAGGAUAUAAAUAUA